rnacentral:rRNA from 1 species
UACGAGUGGUGCAAGCGUUAUCCGGAUUUACUGGGCGUAAAGCGCGUUCAGGCGGUUUGGCAAGUCGGGCAUGAAAUCUCUCGGCUCAACCGGGAGAGGUUGUCCGAUACUGCUGGACUUGAGGGCAGUAGAGGGUGGUGGAAUUCCGGGUGUAGUGGUGAAAUGCGUAGAUAUCCGGAGGAACACCAGUGGCGAAAGCGGCCACCUGGACUGCACCUGACGCUGACACGCGAAAGCUAGGGGAGCGAACGGG